rnacentral:rRNA from 1 species
GACGAACGCUGGCGGCGUGCUUAACACUUGCAAGUCGAACGAUGAAGCUGGAGCUUGCUCCGGUGGAUUAGUGGCGAACGGGUGAGUAACACGUGAGCAAUCUGCCCUUGACUCUGGGAUAACUGCGGGAAACUGUAGCUAAUACCGGAUACUUUCCUUGGUGGGCAUCCACUGGGGAAGAAAGAAUUUCGGUCAAGGAUGAGCUCGCGGCCUAUCAGCUGGUUGGUGAGGUAAUGGCUCACCAAGGCGCCGACGGGUAGCCGGCCUGAGAGGGUGACCGGCCACACUGGAACUGAGACACGGUCCAGACUCCUACGGGAGGCAGCAGUGGGGAAUAUUGCACAAUGGGCGAAAGCCUGAUGCAGCAACACCGCGUGAGGGACGAAGGCCUUCGGGUUGUAAACCUCUUUUAGCAGGGAAGAAGCGAAAGUGACGGUACCUGCAGAAAAAGCACCGGCUAACUACGUGCCAGCCGCCGCCGUAA